rnacentral:rRNA from 1 species
AUUGAACGCUGGCGGCAGGCCUAACACAUGCAAGUCGAACGAGUGGCGGACGGGUGAAUAAUGUCUGGGCAACUGCCUGAGGUAGGGAGAUAACUACGGGAAACGGUAUCUAAUACCGCAUACCAUCGGAUGUGCCCAGAUUGGUAUAGCUAGUAGGAGGGGUAAAGGCUAACCUAGGCGACGAUCCCUAGCUGGUCUGAGAGGAUGACCAGCCACACUGGAACUGAGACACGGUCCAGACUCCUACGGGAGGCAGCAGUGGGGAAUAUUGCACAAUGGGCGCAAGCCUGAUGCAGCCAUGCCGCGUGUAUGAAGAAGGCCUUAGGGUUGUAAAGUACUUUCAGCGGGGAGGCGUUACCCGCAGAAGAAGCACCGGCUAACUCCGUGCCAGCCGCCGCGGUAAUAC